rnacentral:tRNA from 1 species
GCGCGAUCGGUCUGGCACUCGAUGACGCCGUGGGCGCCGGUGAUGCAGACGUAGUGGCGGCGGCGGGCGAGGAUCCAGUCCUCGACCGCGCUC